AUUUGUUUUUACUUUUUAAGUGUGGUUUUUAUUGAGUGUUUUUGCUGCAUGUUUUGUUUUUUAUUCACUGUGGACUCCGAGAACUAAUAGUUGAUUCCAGUCACCUGCGCGGGGUGGGCGUGCCUGUAGGCAGCAUACCUGGAACCUGCAAGACGCUGGCUGUGGCUUUUAAAAGGCAGAGGACUUCGCGUUGGGGAGAAGAGAAGAAAAAGGGGAAUCCAGGAAGGUUCGUGACGGAGGACUGCGACCCCGAACGAGCCAGUGGUUGGCAGCAGAGGAUACAAUCAGUGGGAACGACGUGUCGGACCGUCAGCGGGCAGAGGGGGAACUCUGCCCUGGUCAGACGCCAGCGGGCGGCGCUUUACGCGGAGCAACUAGAGUGGCUGGAACGACCACAGGAGGCGGUGGCGCUGGGGCUGUGACUAUAGGCUGGACGGAGCGCAGGAUUCGCCGUCCUCACUGGAUUUUGUGGAUGUUGGCCCUCUUGGACGAUUUUAGUUUGUUCUGAUUUGGACAUUUUAAUAUUUUUAUUGUUAUUUUAUGCAAACAAGAAAACGGAGCAUUUUAUUCCGUUGGGGAAUAAAAAAAGAGCUAACUAACU